UACGGGGGGGGCAAGCGUUGUUCGGAAUUACUGGGCGUAAAGGGCUCGUAGGUGGCCAACUAAGUCAGACGUGAAAUCCCUCGGCUUAACCGGGGAACUGCAUCUGAUACUGGAUGGCUUGAGUUUGGGAGAGGGAUGCGGAAUUCCAGGUGUAGUGGUGAAAUGCGUAGAUAUCUGGAGGAACACCGGUGGCGAAGGCGGCAUCCUGGACCAACACUGACACUGAGGAGCGAAAGCCAGGGGAGCAAACGGG
rnacentral:rRNA from 1 species